rnacentral:piRNA from 1 species
UAACUCCAUUUUAUUCAAGCAUGUCUUAGU